rnacentral:rRNA from 1 species
CCUGAGAGGGCGGACGGCCACAUUGGGACUGAGACACGGCCCAAACUCCUACGGGAGGCAGCAGUGGGGAAUAUUGGACAAUGGGGGCAACCCUGAUCCAGCCAUGCCGCGUGUGUGAAGAAGGCUUUCGGGUUGUAAAGCACUUUCAGUGAGGAGGAAAACUCUGCGACUAAUACUCGUAGGGCUUGACGUUACUCACAGAAGAAGCACCGGCUAACUCCGUGCCAGCAGCCGCGGUAAUACGGAGGGUGCAAGCGUUAAUCGGAAUUACUGGGCGUAAAGCGCACGUAGGCGGAUCA